AACACAUGCAAGUCGAACGGUAACAGGAUGUGCUUGCACAUCGCUGACGAGUGGCGGACGGGUGAGUAAUGCUUGGGAACUUGCCUUUGCGAGGGGGAUAACAGUUGGAAACGGCUGCUAAUACCGCAUAAUGUCUUCGGACCAAACGGGGCUUCUGCUCCGGCGCAAAGAGAGGCCCAAGUGAGAUUAGCUAGUUGGUAAGGUAACGGCUUACCAAGGCGACGAUCUCUAGCUGUUCUGAGAGGAAGAUCAGCCACACUGGGACUGAGACACGGCCCAGACUCCUACGGGAGGCAGCAGUGGGGAAUAUUGCACAAUGGGGGAAACCCUGAUGCAGCCAUGCCGCGUGUGUGAAGAAGGCCUUCGGGUUGUAAAGCACUUUCAGUUGUGAGGAAAAGUUAGUAGUUAAUACCUGCUAGCCGUGACGUUAACAACAGAAGAAGCACCGGCUAACUCCGUGCCAGCAGCCGCGGUAAUACGGAGGGUGCGAGUGUUAAUCGGAAUUACUGGGCGUAAAGCGCACGCAGGCGGUUUGUUAAGCUAGAUGUGAAAGCCCCGGGCUCAACCUGGGAUGGUCAUUUAGAACUGGCAGACUAGAGUCUUGGAGAGGGGAGUGGAAUUCCAGGUGUAGCGGUGAAAUGCGUAGAUAUCUGGAGGAACAUCAGUGGCGAAGGCGACUCCCUGGCCAAAGACUGACGCUCAUGUGCGAAAGUGUGGGUAGCGAACAGGAUUAGAUACCCUGGUAGUCCACACCGUAAACGCUGUCUACUAGCUGUGUGUGCCUUUAAGGCGUGCGUAGCGAAGCUAACGCGCUAAGUAGACCGCCUGGGGAGUACGGCCGCAAGGUUAAAACUCAAAUGAUUUGACGGGGGCCCGCACAAGCGGGUGAGCAUGGGGUUUAUUCGAUGCACGCGAAAACCUUACCUACACUUGACAUGCUGAAAGUUACUAAAGAUAGUUCGUGCCUUCGGAACUCAGAACAGUGCUGCAUGCUGUCGUCAGCUCGUGUCGUGGAUGUUGGUAAGUCCCGCAACGAGCGCAACCUUGUCCUAAUUUGCAG
rnacentral:rRNA from 1 species